rnacentral:rRNA from 1 species
GUCUUGUAAUUGGAAUGAUGGUGACCUAAACCCUCACCAGAGUAACAAUUGGAGGGCAAGUCUGGUGCCAGCAGCCGCGGUAAUUCCAGCUCCAAUAGCGUAUAUUAAACUUGUUGCAGUUAAAAAGCUCGUAGUUGAAUUUUUGCGUGGUGUUAAUAUUGACUGAUGUCGAGAUUGCACUUCGCUUUUGGGAUUUUUCCCUUUUUACUUUGAGAAAAUUAGAGUGUUUCAAGCAGACUUUUGUCUUGAAUACUUCAGCAUGGAAUAAUAGAGUAGGACUUUGGUUCUAUUUUGUUGGUUUGUGAACCUUAGUAAUGGUUAAUAGGAACGGUUGGGGGCAUUCGUAUUUAACUGUCAGAGGUGAAAUUCUUAGAUUUGUUAAAGACGAACUACUGCGAAAGCAUUUGCCAAGGACGUUUUCAUUAAUCAAGAACGAAAGUUAGGGGAUCGAAGACGAUCAGAUACCGUCGUAGUCCUAACCAUAAACUAUGCCGACUAGGGAUUGGAGGUCGUCAUUUUUCCGACUCCUUCAGCACCUUGAGAGAAAUCAAAGUCUUUGG